rnacentral:rRNA from 1 species
CCUACGGGUGGCAGCAGUGAGGAAUAUUGGUCAAUGGCCGAAAGUCUGAACCAGCCAUGUCGCGUGAGGGAAGAAGGUCCUAUGGGUUGUAAACUGCUUUUGUAAGGGAGUAAAGUCAGCUACGUGUAGGGGUUGGAAAGUAUCUGAAGAAUAAGGAUCGGCUAACUCCGUGCCAGCAGCCGCGGUAAUACGGAGGAUUCAAGCGUUAUCCGGAUUUAUUGGGUUUAAAGGGUGCGUAGGCGGGUCUAUAAGUUAGCGGUGAAAUCCCUGGGCUCAACUCCGGCACUGCCUUUGAAACUGACGGGCUAGAGUUUACGUGCGGUAGGCGGAAUGUAUGGUGUAGCGGUGAAAUGCAUAGAGAUCAUACAGAACUCCGAUUGCGAAGGCAGCAUACCAAAGGACGACUGACGCUGAGGCACGAAAGCGUGGGGAGCAAACAGGAUUAGAUACCCCUGUAGUC